AGUUUUAGCUUUGAUCUCCCUCAUUGAGUUUUGCUGCCGGGGUGUGUUUAUAUCUAUUUCUAUUUAUCUUUUUAGCUCUGAAAUUCCGUGCUGCUGUGUCUGCCUUUUGUAACACAACAGAAGGGAGUUUUGUCUAGUUCCGUGCAAGCGAUUUAAGUCACUUAAGACAAGAAGGCGGCGGAAGUGAAAGGUGUGCUCAACAGCAGAGGAAGCUUCACCUGUCAGCCUGAUAGGAGUCGCACCUCCCCGGAGAGCUGCGUGGGAAUGCUGGGCAGAAAGUCUAUGUUCACUUCAACGGAAAGUUGGCAGCAACAGCAGAAGACUGGAUAAGAUUCUGAGGAAAUUCCAGUCCAUCCCCUGGGACUGUGCAGUAGUGAUCACGGCUGGAGCAGCGACCAGAUCUGACUUUGCUCUCUGUGUCCACCAGACUGUUGUUCCUUCUGAUUUCUCAUUUCCAAACAAUUUUUUCCCAAUCCCCAAAGCCUAGCUGUGGAGGUUUGAAUAUGCAUGGCCCAGGGAAUGGCACUAUUAGGAGAUAUGGCCUGGUUGGAAGAAGUGUGUCACUCACUGCAUGGUGGGUUUUGAGACCCUUUUCCUAACUGCCUGGAAGAGUCAGUCUUUUUCUGCUUCCCUUUGGAACAAGUUAUAGAACUCUCAGCUCUUUAUCCAGUGUUAUGCCUGCCUGGAUGCUGCCAUCUUCCCGCAUUGAUGAUAAUGGACUGAACCUCUGAAACUGUAAGCCAGCCCCAAUUGUCCUUUAUAAGAGUUGCCUUCAUCAUGGUCUUUCUUCACAGCAAUGGAAACCCUAACUAAGACACUAACUCAGCACUGACUUUUCCCCAAGACUCAUCCCCACAAUUAUUCUACAUCAGCCCAACAUCUACACAGUCUGCUUAUGAGAUGUCAACAAUACAGUGUUAGUACCAGUGGAGUUUUGUUUAUCUCAUUUACACAUAAUGACAACCUCAAGUAUUAUUAUGUCCCAGUUUAUAAUGAGGUAGUCAAUUCAGAGAAAUAGCUUGCCCUAGAUAAGUUACUUAGAAAAAUUAGAGGGAGAAUUGGAAUCCUUCUUCUGACACCAAAGCAUUUGUCUCAACUAGCCUGCUCUACCAGAUCCACUCAGUAUGUGUUCUUCAAAUGUCUUAGUAUUUGGUUUCCUUAUCUAACAAAGCUCACCCAACAGGCAUAGGUAGUCUGAGAGAAUAUUCUAAUGGAUUUUUAUGAUCAGGCUCACAUUAUAUGGAGUGCUAAGUGUCACAUUUCUUUUCAGAAUGAUCGUUUAAGGAACACUGCUUAUGACUGUGCUCCAGUGGCUGGUGUUUCUGUACACAGGCAAGGCUUGGCAUAUCACUGGAAGCAGGAAGCAUUUUUUCCCUAGUAGUCCAUCACUUAUGUUUUCCAUUUAUGUCUACGGGACAGAUUUACUCCUCAAGAGUAAAGAGAUGGUUAUCCAUCAACAUCU
rnacentral:lncRNA from 1 species